rnacentral:rRNA from 1 species
AUUGAACGCUGGCGGAAUGCUUUACACAUGCAAGUCGAACGGCAGCACGGGGGCAACCCUGGUGGCGAGUGGCGAACGGGUGAGUAAUGUAUCGGAACGUGCCCAGUCGUGGGGGAUAACGUAGUGAAAAUUACGCUAAUACCGCAUACGAUCUACGGAUGAAAGCGGGGGAUCGCAAGACCUCGCGCGAUUGGAGCGGCCGAUAUCAGAUUAGGUAGUUGGUGGGGUAAAGGCUCACCAAGCCAACGAUCUGUAGCUGGUCUGAGAGGACGACCAGCCACACUGGAACUGAGACACGGUCCAGACUCCUACGGGAGGCAGCAGUGGGGAAUUUUGGACAAUGGGCGAAAGCCUGAUCCAGCCAUUCCGCGUGCAGGAUGAAGGCCUUCGGGUUGUAAACUGCUUUUGUACGGAGCGAAAAGGCUCUCUCUAAUACAGGGGGCUCAUGACGGUACCGUAAGAAUAAGCACCGGCUAACUACGUGCCAGCCGCCGCGGUAA